UACGGAGGGUGCAAGCGUUGCUCGGAAUUAUUGGGCGUAAAGGGCGCGUAGGCGGCCUGGCAAGUGGAAGGUGAAAUCCCUCGGCUUAACCGAGGAACUGCCCUCCAAACUGCUUGGCUUGAGUCCGGGAGAGGUGAGUGGAAUUCCCAGUGUAGCGGUGAAAUGCGUAGAUAUUGGGAGGAACACCAGUGGCGAAGGCGGCUCACUGGACCGGAACUGACGCUGAGGCGCGAAAGCGUGGGGAGCAAACGGG
rnacentral:rRNA from 1 species